CAGUAGCCACGGGAAUACGAAGGGGGCUAGCGUUGCUCGGAAUUACUGGGCGUAAAGGGAGCGUAGGCGGAUCGUUUAGUCAGGGGUGAAAUCCCGGGGCUCAGCCUCGGAACUGCCUUUGAUACUGGCGAUCUUGAGUAUGGGAGAGGUGUGUGGGACUCCGAGUGUAGAGGUGAAAUUCGUAGAUAUUCGGAAGAACACCAGUGGCGAAGGCGACACACUGGCCCAUUACUGACGCUGAGGCUCGAAAGCGUGGGGAGCAAACAGGAUUAGAUACCCCGGUAGUCCCUGUCUCUUAUAA
rnacentral:rRNA from 1 species